rnacentral:rRNA from 1 species
UUGCCUCAGUAACGGCGAGUGAAGCGGCAAUAGCUCAAAUUUGAAAUCUGGCAUCAGCCCGAAUUGUAAUUUGUAGAGGAUGCUUCGGCUUACGUUUUGGUCUAAGUUCCUUGGAACAGGACGUCACAGAGGGUGAGAAUCCCGUUUGUGGCCAUAACUUCCGCCAUGUGAAGCUCCUUCGACGAGUCGAGUUGUUUGGGAAUGCAGCUCUAAAUGGGAGGUAUGUUUCUUCUAAAGCUAAAUACCGGCCAGAGACCGAUAGCGCACAAGUAGAGUGAUCGAAAGAUGAAAAGCACUUUGGAAAGAGAGUUAAAAAGUACGUGAAAUUGUUGAAAGGGAAGCGCUUGCAACCAGACUUGCCCGUAGUUGCUCAACUUGGUCUUCCGACCGGUGCACUCUUCUGCGGUCAGGCCAGCAUCAGUUCGGGUGGUUGGAUAAAGGCCUCGAGAAUGUAGCUCUCUUCGGGGAGUGUUAUAGCUCUUGGUGCAAUACAGCCUGCCUGGACUGAGGCCCGCGCUUCGGCUAGGAUGCUGGCGUAAUGGUUGUAAGCGGCCCGUCUUGAAACACGGACCAAGGAGUCUAACAUCUAUGCGAGUGUUUGGGUGUCAAACCCGUGCGCGUAAUGAAAGUGAACGGAGGUGGGAACUUUUGUGCACCAUCGACCGAUCCUGAUGUCUUCGGAUGGAUUUGAGUAAGAGCAUAGCUGUUGGGACCCGAAAGAUGGUGAACUAUGCCUGAAUAGGGUGAAGCCAGAGGAAACUCUGGUGGAGGCUCGCAGCGGUUCUGACGUGCAAAUCGAUCGUCAAAUUUGGGUAUAGGGGCGAAAGACUAAUCGAACCAUUAAAAAAAUGGCAUUACAAA